AGCCAUGCCGCGUGUGUGAAGAAGGCCUUUUGGUUGUAAAGCACUUUAAGCAGUGAAGAAGACUCUUCGGUUAAUACCCGGAGACGAUGACAUUAGCUGCAGAAUAAGCACCGGCUAACUCUGUGCCAGCAGCCGCGGUAAUACAGAGGGUGCAAGCGUUAAUCGGAAUUACUGGGCGUAAAGCGAGCGUAGGUGGCUUGAUAAGUCAGAUGUGAAAUCCCCGGGCUUAACCUGGGAACUGCAUCUGAAACUGUUAGGCUAGAGUAGGUGAGAGGGAAGUAGAAUUUCAGGUGUAGCGGUGAAAUGCGUAGAGAUCUGAAGGAAUACCGAUGGCGAAGGCAGCUUCCUGGCAUCAUACUGACACUGAGGCUCGAAAGCGUGGGUAGCAAACAGGAUUAGAUACCCUGGUAGUCCACGCCGUAAACGAUGUCUACUAGUCGUUGGGUCCCUUGAGGACUUAGUGACGCAGCUAACGCAAUAAGUAGACCGCCUGGGGAGUACGGCCGCAAGGUUAAAACUCAAAGGAAAUUGACGG
rnacentral:rRNA from 1 species